GGUAAUGAUAUUCUUGUUUACUGACUCAUUAUUUUUAGUGCUCACUGCUCAGAAAAAUACAAGUAGCAAUUUAUUCUUGUUUCUCUGCAAUUGCUUAGGCAAAGGGAAUCAUUGACUUUUUCCUCAAAGUCUUUGUUAUGAAUAGGCUGGUCAUGCCCCAAGACGCAAUUUAAGUUUAGCUGAAAUUAGAAAUUUGACAUGGAUGAGCAACAAAACAAGAGGGAAAGACCUCAACAAAUGUUGGUUGACGUUGCAAGAUCUGCAUCCUUCAUUUUAUGUUAGGAUGGGGCUUUAUUUUGAACAUCUAUGAGGCACAGGAGUCCUUAGGUAUACCUCAGUGGGAAUGUGGGAAGUGGACCUGUCUGUCUGAGUCCCUUCUCUCUCUCUUUUUUCUUUUUU
rnacentral:misc_RNA from 1 species